AUUGAACGCUGGCGGCAGGCCUAACACAUGCAAGUCGAGCGGAUGAUGGGAGCUUGCUCCUUGAUUCAGCGGCGGACGGGUGAGUAAUGCCUAGGAAUCUGCCUGGUAGUGGGGGACAACGUUUCGAAGGGAACGCUAAUACCGCAUACGUCCUACGGGAGAAAGCAGGAGACCUUCGGGCCUUGCGCUAUCAGAUGAGCCUAGGUCGGAUUAGCUUGUUGGUGAGAUAAUGGCUCACCAAGGCGACGAUCCGUAACUGGUCUGAGAGGAUGAUCAGUCACACUGGAACUGAGACACGGUCCAGACUCCUACGGGAGGCAGCAGUGGGGAAUAUUGGACAAUGGGCGAAAGCCUGAUCCAGCCAUGCCGCGUGUGUGAAGAAGGUCUUCGGAUUGUAAAGCACUUUAAGUUGGGAGGAAGGGUUGUAGAUUAAUACUCUGCAAUUUUGACGUUACCGACAGAAUAAGCACCGGCUAACUCUGUGCCAGCAGCCGCAGUAAUAC
rnacentral:rRNA from 1 species